CACACACAUACACAUACACAUCAACUCUCCCCUGCCCCCCCUUUCCGAAUUAAAAGUCGCCUUUUGUGCGGAUCUGGUUUCCCAGGCCUGUGCGCCCACAAGGGUCCUUCGGGUUCAAAACCCUGACUCGGGCCUGCGACAACACUGUAAAAAAAAAAAAAACAGCCCUCUUACAGAGAAGAGCAGUGAGAUAUCGGCUCAGUGCGAGCACGAAGCCUGAACAAACAGACCGCUGGAGGGGAAAUGGGGCUUGUACAAACUCAGUGACAUUACACAGUGGCCUUGAGAUUAUCUCCAGUGAAAAUGAGAUGCUAAACGAGAGCCACGGUUCGAGAAAAAGACGAGCUGAAGAACCUCUGCUGAGUCAUAGUGCUUCUGUAAUUUACUAAGGUCACGCGGCGUCAAACGAGCAGGAUUCCGACUCCGAAAAGACACUCUGACCUUGACGUUCUCCUGUUUCUCGUCUUCUAAAACCAGACCGAGGCUCACAAUAUCUUCCUAGCGCACCAGUUCUGAGCUUUAGCGUCUCAUAUAACAAUGCCCGGCUUUGGUCUCUUCUCGGAGGACGAGAGAUCAUUUUGUCGGGGAGCGACCUCAGAGGCGGCAUUCCGCCCACGUUUAUGCCGCUGUUUCGGCUUCGCGUCUCUCUGGGUUACGAAUCCAAGUCGUUUAAUGAACGGUGUUUUCUCUCAACACGAAUCCACACACAUCGGCGUACGGAAGGACGACUCGGAGAACUCGGGAGACACGGGACAGAUUUGGAUUCCCUUAAAAUAGGACGCUAAACCUGUGGCGUGUUCUUCCGAAAACAACAAGUCGAUGACACCAAGACGUCGAUCUAGGGAAAAAUCAAGUCCCGAGAAAGUUAUACACGAUGCCUGACGGUUAUAACGUUAUUUGUCGUGAUUUAUAAUCAGACCAGACAAUAAUUCCCAGCUAGGUCCUGGGUUAGCCUUACAUAUUUUCAUUUCUCAGACACGUCGGUUAAUUAGCUGUUUUGUUGGACCAGGAAUGUUAGGAGAACGGAUACUCCAGAACCGGGUUUAGGAACCACUGCGUCAGUUUUGACUUUAAAUGUAGGUUUGUGUUUUAGAAGGUUCACUCAUUGGUUUUCAGUAAGCGCUUUAUCCUGGUCAUUGUCCUGGAUCCAGAGUCUAUCCCAGGAACUCCGGCGAGGUGGGAAUAAAUCAUGGAUGGGACGUUCUCUGGAAGAUAAAAGUCUGGAUUUGGUAGAGUUAUGGAUUCACUGGAGAACAAACAGAAACAACAUUGUUACAUACAUCAGUCUUGGGGGGGAAAACAACGGUGUUCCUUCGAUACACAGAGGUGGGAAAUAAUCAUUACACUGCGACUAUACUUAAGUCCGGUUUUUCCGAACGUAUCUCACCUUCUACGUUUCAGUAGAAAACAAAAAUCAUACAUUAAUAUCUUUCAAACACGACAUCCCUGCAUGUCUCUAUAAUCAUAUAUGUGUAAAGAUUUAAGCUGACGUUUUUUGAUUGGAAAGCAGCAAUCAUGUGACCGAGAGAAUGAGAACUAACACCCGACACGGUAAUCUAUCUGCUUCUGCGUACGCUUUGUAUAGAGUUAAUAUUAUCCUAGCUAACAUUUGAGAGGUUGUAGUUGGUUCGUUAGCUUUAGAUACCGUCUUCCCACGUUCCUCGGUUCUGAAACGAAUCAGACUGAAGGCAAGCGUCGUCUCCUUCUGGGAUUCUUCCUGCUUCCGAUUUCCCUUCCUUUGAAGACUUGAGGAAAAUAUAAGCGUUUUCUACUUUGACUGAAGACUCUGAUGCUGUAUUUCAGCUUUUAGCUGAGGAUUUGUUUACGUAAGUCGCACUUUUACUUGAGCAAAGAAUUUGGAGACUUGUAUCAACACGAGCCGCGAAUAUCGGAUCGCUGGUUUAUAUAAAGUCUGAGACACGUGAUAGCGGCGGUGGUGUUAGCUUUAGCAGAAGGAGACGUUAGACUUGGCUCGCAGCCUGCCAAAGCGCAAACAAGUUCGGACGGUUGCUGAUUCACGGUGCUAACUCAGCGUCUGCAAUUCAUCGAGGUUAGAACUACGCGGCGUUAAAUGAGCAGGACCGGGUAAUUAAUUAUAAUUGAUUAUAAUUGAAAUCUCGACACUCCCCGGUUUGUUGUCUUUGAAGUCGUUUACGCAGUCGUCCGAGUUAGCUCGACGUAUGCUGGCGUUGGAAAGGGCUACUCCCAAAACGCCCACAGAAAACCAGAUUCUGUGAUCUUCCAGAUCAUGUCGUAUAGCACAGAGCUUCGCUUUUGUAGGUUUUCGCAGGAUAAGAGAUCAUUUCGUUGGUUUCACAGGCACACUGGAGCGGCUGCGGAGAUGGCGUCCGCCCACGUUUAGCUGUCUUAGCUGCAAAUCCAACUCACUUAAUGUUGUGGUCCCUUUUUACAGAUUUUAAAGAUGCAGUCUAUGAGCUGUUGGGAAUGAGGCUGUGAGACGUGUUUCACGCGAUUUCUCCCCAGGAAUUUGGUUUGAGUAAUGCACAGACCGGGAGAUGUGUGUGGCGUUAAUAGGAGCGGGCUGGUGAGGGACAGCGCGACUGCCUAAGCCCCUCUGCUUUGUUCCCACAUUGCAAGGUUAACGAUUUUCCGUCCUGGGUGGCUGAAUUAGAAUUCAGCUCCCGUCCUCGGCACUGAGACGCUGUCUGCUGCCUUCCCAGCAGCCCCGGCGCACAGUGACAGGGAGAUGGAUGAUAUCUGCAGCAUGGGCCGCUCGGCUCGGGAGGAGGGGGAGAGGGUGCAUUGAGUGCACUCUCUCUCUCUCUCUCUCUCUCUCUCUCUUACACACACACUUUUACACACACAUACACACACACCCCCAAGUUGUGCACACAACCAGACAGUCACAUAUAUGACAGCACAUACACAUGCACACUGUCAUGCACACAUGAAAGCACACACACACACACACACACACACACACACACACACACACACACACAGAUGCAAGGACACAAAGCAUAACGGACAGUCAUGCAUUUUGAUGUAGAUGCAUGUGCACACAUGACAGUGUGGACACACACACACACACACACAAAUGAUAUACAUGACACAUUUGUAUGCAGAUAUACAUCUGAGGCAGGUGCACACAUACACACACACACACACACACAAGUUGGGACAUGCAAACAAUUAAGCACACACUGAGCAAUACAGUGCAGUACAGACUGUAACACACUCACACUAUUAUAAUAUACAAUUAUGCACACAAAAAACAAACACACACACACGUUGUGACAUAAAUACAAUUAUGCACACACAGAGUACUACAGUCCCAUAUACAUUGUGUAUCAACACACACACACACACACGUAGUGUAACUUUAAAAUCCAUUUACGUGCCUUUAUUUAAAGGUACACCAUAUCAACAUUUCUAGGUGAAAGAUACAAACUAUUAGCGUCACCACACCACCAACAUACAGGAAAGGUACGGUUCGGUAUCCCGAAUUUUCUUGCAGGGUGGCUAGUUCUCUCAAUAUCGUGCUGCUUGGCUACCUAGCAUUAGCAAGUAACAUAACGAGGUUCAAAGUUCAGAAGGUUCAGAAUUUCAAACGACACGGUGAAAAUGACGGGCUUUAUUGUGUGAUGUUUGGAUGUGAAGUUGAUGGACACCAGGACAUGUAGUGACACAACACGCUCAAAAUAACGAACAAUACAUCAACACAUUAGGAGAGACAGAAAAGGAUUAUUUCCAUUAUACUUUAUUGAUCAUUUUGAAAUUUCAAAGACACGUUGAAAUAUGUAUAAAUUAUUAUUUUAUUAUUUUUCUAUUUCAUAUUUAUUAGCUUUACAGUAUAAGCACAUUAUAUAUAUAUAUGGCAUUGAAUUAAAGGACCCACAGAAUAAGUUAUACUUAUUAAGUUUGUGUUAUUAUGGAAGUUAUAGGCCUCUCUGGGUGUGUGUGUGUGUGUGUGUGUGUAUGUUUCUACACAUUGUAUAUAGGACUGUAGUACUCUGUGUGUGCAUAAUUGUAUGCAUGUCCUAACAUGUGUGUGUGUGUGGGCAUGCAUUUAUAUCUUGGUCCCCACAAGGGUAAGAAUAUCCGGCAGGUUUGACCUUGCGGGGACAUUUGGCUGGUCCUCAUUGGACGGUCCUCACAAGGACACUAAGACAAAUGUGAACAGUGUAUAUAUGUGUAUAUAUAUAUAUAUAUAUAUAUGUAUGUAUGUAUGUAUGUAUGUAUGUAUGUGUGUGUGUGUGUGUGUGUGUGUGUGUGUGUCUGUGAGUCUUCUGUAUAUGCAGAACUUACCAGCUGUGCUUUCCUUACUGCACACCCUACCACGUGACUUACACACACACACACACACACACACUGCCGCAAGGGUAGCGCUACAUGACUUAUGCAUGGCCGACGUGGAAAAGCCUUUAGGUCGACCAGGAUGACUUCUGGGGAAAGUCACAGACUUCAGUUAGGAGAACGCGUCGCUUUACAUCAGGCGAUAACAUCAGCACGUAAGGUGUACCCAAACCUGUAAAAUAAAUAAACAAACAAACUAAUCAGUAGAUAAAAAGAUGGAUAGAUCAAAUCAAAUCAAGUGACUUUUACUGUCGUUUCAGCCAUCUACAGCUGGUACAGUACGCCAUGAAACAAAACAACGCUCCUCCAGGACCACGGUGAUACAUACAGCAACACAAUAACCACCUGAGACGACACAGAACUAAAUAAGACCUACACGUUUCUACAUAAAGUGUGCAGACAACAACGACUUAUAGAUAGAUAAUAGCCAGCAUCAUCACUGUUAUUAUGUGACGACAUUAUACUAUUUUAAUACGUUAUUAUCGUACUACAUAAUAAAUCUGAUUAAGCUGGACAUAAAAAAACAAAACAAAACCAGAUGCAUACGCAUUACUAUCCAUAAUUAUUAAUGAAGCGAUUUAUUGUUAGGCCCCACCAAAAUCUAACUCUAAUCUCAACCACGGGGACCAGCAAGAUGUCCCAACAAGGUCAAACCUGUGAGAUAUUCCUAUUCUCGUUUAUACGCACACACCACCGGUCAAAAGUUUGCGGACGCUCGACGGAAACGUUUCUCGUGGUCUUAAAAACCUUUUGAUCUGAAGGUGUGUGAUUAAACGUGUGAAAUCGGUGUCGUGGACAACAAAUAUAAUCAUGCAAAAACGUAUUCGUUUCUUCCAUUAGAAAACUAACGUUUCAUUUACGAAUAAAUGUUUGUUUACACGGACGACUCGGAGCGAAACGUUCCGAAAAGCAGCCGGUAAGAGUCCGGCGUCGGCGUGAACUCCUUUAAUACGGUUUAAAAAUCAUCUCGGGGAAAUUCCUCAAGAAAUCGGUCGAGAAAACGGCAAGAACGCAUUUCUGGAAGUUCUAGAAAUUCAGAAAGCGUGUCUAUUUUGAAGAUGCUAAAACACUCAAUUGUUUCGUUUUAUUUUGGAUUUUUUUAACACAACAUAAUUCCCAUAGUUCCACUUGUGCUCCUCCAGAGUUUUGAUGACUUUAUUAUUAUUCGACAAUGUGGAGAAAAAAUUUAAAUAAAGAAUGAGUGUGUGUAAACUUUUGACCAUAGUGUGUAUAUACUGAAUUAAAAACGUAUAAAUUUUUAAAUACAUGCACACACACUAAUUUUAUUUUUUUUUUUUACCUGCAUGCUGCACAAGGUGACUUCUUAACUUUCUAUUCCUGAAAAAAAAGAUGAACAGGACGUGAGUUAAUGAGACAGUAACAUGAAAAGGCAGAUCUCUCUCUCUCUCUCUCUGUGUGUGUGUGUGUUUUUUCUCUCAGAGUUCACUUGAGGAUGCAGGAAAGCAGAUGUACGAGUUUUUCCCUGCCAAAACUCUCUGUGAGCUCUAAUACAAAGGAAGACCGCAAGCUGAGUAGUGUAGGUACUUGUGUAUGUGUGUGUGCGCGCGCGUCACACUCUCUUUCCCCUCACAGAACAACUUCGCUAAAGUUCCCACGUUCAGCUGCCAAUCACACGCCGGUCACACUCGAUUUACACAACCACAAACACAGGUUUGCUCAAGGGAAGGUUUCAGCAAUAUAAUCAGUGUGUGUGUGUGUAUGAGUGAGUGUCCACAGCAGAAAGUUAAGGCUGGUACACCUUCGGCGCAUGUUGCCAAUGGCUGGUGAGUUAAAAGUGGCGCCAGCUGUAGGUCGUAUUGAAGCUGUGGCCUCUGGAAAGACCGAGCUAUGAGACACAGCCUCAUUAUCCUCUACAACGAGAGAGAAAGAGAGAGAGAGAGAGAGAGAGAGAGAGAGAGAGACAGUCGCGGUUCAAUAACUCCGACCAGAUAGCACGUUUCCCUGGCAACACCUCCGAAGCAGCUCUGCAGAGAUCCCAGAGAGAGAGAGAGAGAGAGAGAAAGAGAGAGACAGAAAGGGGGAGGGCGAACAAGGGGAAGGAAGGAAGGAAGGAAGGAAGGAAGGAGGAGACCUAGACAGCGUUGGGGUGGGAGGCAGUUCUGGGUGACACUUGUGCUCAGUACAAACAUUAAAGACUGUUAACACACACAAACAGGAGUCCAGCGGAGAACGUACACACCCAUACAUACUUUUUUUUCUUAACCAGGUAAUGUGUGUGUACAGACUUCUAAUGAUGAGUGUAUUACAUACGCUCCAUAUUUCCAUCCUUUAUGAGCCAACAGCAGAACCGUGAGACUUUGGGAAUAAAAAUGUCCCGCAUAGCGUUUGAAGCUAAUUUGAUUAGCGCUAAUAAAAUUCAAAGACCGAUGUUACAUUAUGUAUGUGUAAAGGAUACACACGAAUGGUCCAUUCUUGUGGCAUUCACGACUUCCGAAGUUGACUUGGGAAAUUUCCACUGUCACUCUGCCUUUAUACUGUGCAUAUAAGUGCAAGCUCGCUAAAUCAUUAGCGUCAGCCAUUAGAUACAACAAUGUAACACUUAGUAGUACCAGUGAAGGAGGCGUGUCCUCUUUGUCUGUAAGUACAGUGAAGGAGGCGUGUCCUCUUUGUCUGUAAGUACAGUGAAGGAGGCGUGUCCUCUUUGUCUGUAAGUACAGUGAAGGAGGCGUGUCCUGUGUCUAUAAGCACAGUGAAGGAGGCGUGCCCUCUUUGUAAGUACAGUGAAUGAGGCGUGUCCUCUUUGUCUGUAAGUACAGUGAAGGAGGCGUGUCCUCUGUGUCUAUAAGUACAGUGAAGGAGGCGUGUCCUCUGUGCUGGUUAGUCUCUGCGAAAGAGGCGUGGUCUCUGCGUCUAUCAGUACUAGCGAAGGAGGCGUGUCCUUGAACUUGAACUUACAGAAUACUGUAUCGUAUAUACAGCAGGCAGAUUUAAAAGUGUUUUUCACACUUCGGAUUGUGACCACAUCACACACUGAACACUAAAGAACACUAACUCCCAACGCUAUCGGCAACGCCCACUGCAGAGCUUCCGUAAAUGAAUCCCAGCGUUUCAGCGUAAGCCCAGCAUGCAUUUAAUGGUUGAGUGACUAUAACGGAGACUGCGACGACAAAAAUCUGUGAACAUGGAGCGAAUGUUUGACUUUGGAUUGGGACGGAGUCUAAUUCUGAUUAGAAUACGCAGGUGACUGUCUGGCCUCCCACUGCAGUGUCUGGAAACUCAGACAUAAGACUCCCCACCCGCUCCCCCCUCCUGCGU
ensembl:lncRNA